UCCGGGCGGACGCCGAAUCCUGCCGCCGCCCGGAUGACCGGUCGACAGGAGUGGAUCGGCAGGAGUGGAGGACCCAGGCAGUACGGGUCCCCGGAACGGUCGGCAGUCCGUGUGAGCGGACGGACGAACGCUUCGGGCGGCCCUUGGGGUGAAGCCGUGGCAACGCGGCCGGGCUACUUCGCCAGCCCGAAUCCGACAGGUCAUCCUUCACAGGCGGCUGACGAAGGGUUG
rnacentral:sRNA from 1 species